rnacentral:ncRNA from 2 species
GGGUGUCUGCUGCAAGGGUGGCGAGACAGGUCAAUGCGCAGGUCGGGCCGCCGCG